CCCGACCACAUUCGAGACAUCCAAGAGGCCGUGAGGAAAAAUCAGAUUUUGUUUGUUUCAGAUGUUCGCUAUCACAAACGACAAUGUGUUGUGGAUAUUAUGAAGAAGGACGGGAUCGGUGGAUCCAAGUUUGUGACCAAAUACAAGGACGACAACCCACAAAUAAAGGAUCUUUUAUCUUCAAACGACGUUUGGGCAGUUAUUUAUCUCAAGUUUGGAAAUAUUACUGCGGAAAUUAAAGACAAGGACAGUGGAGCAAAUUUAAAGUUUCAUAAAAAGCGUGACAGGAACAUCAAACCAUCGGACUCAAUGAUUUCUUUAAGGUCACCCAUCCCUUUCGCUUACGCAUGUGCAGAAAAGGGCAUCAGUAGGGGUCAAGGCAUUCGCGUCCGAGUGGAACACAUUAAACACAUGGAAAAGAAACCAAACUCAUUUCAUCUGGGCAUCGGAAUUUCGGAGAAAAAGUUAAAGUCUGGUUCAUCAUUAGACAUUGCUCCUUUUUUAUUUAAAAAAUUAGAGAAGGAUGAAUGUUUGGGCGAGUUCUUCGUGUGUAUUUCCAAAAAAGGAAAGUUCCAUUUAUGCAGAGGGGAUUUGUGUAUAUAUAGCAAAGCGCUACCCACAGAAAUGAACCCUGAAUUACCACUGUACGUAUGCUUUGAGAUUUUUCGUGUGCAGAUUGAGUUGAUGGACACUUCUUAUUGUGAGCAUUCGGAGGCAGUAGAGAAUCCCGGAGAGGAGCCAAAAUCAACAGAAAAUAUUCCUCCCGAAACGACAGAUCCUUCCUACGUAAUUUUUGAAAUGUUCAACGCUAUUCGAAUAGUCGACGAGGACAUAAAAUCAAGGAAAAUGACACCAGAAGUCCGGAAGUUUUCUGACGACUUAACAGAAUAUGUCAAGCAUAUUUCUCUAGAUCGGUCAAAUGCGGAAUACCUCACACCAAUUAGCACAAGACUAGCCGAAGGCGAGGGAAAACCUACCUUAACUAUUAACGAUUUAUUGAAGAAGUUGGAAGGGAUUGAAAAAACAAUUGUGGAACAACAUUUGGAGAGACAGCAAGACUAUAUGAAAAUAUUAGAGGCCAUUAAGGUUAAUCGUGAGAAAAUCGCGGAAAAAAGAGUUGAUAGCGGAGUCUUCACAAACCAUCUCCAAAAUACUUGUGCCGAUUUCAUAGCCAACGUAGAUGCCUUUCCACUAUGUGACCAUUUGUUGCAAAUCGGAAUUUUCCACCAAAUUCAAUUUGAAACCAUUUUGGAUGAGCAUAAGCUAAGUCGACAAGACGCCAACCGGUCUUUGUUUAGGAUUUUAGUAAAGAAAGAGUACACGCCCGAACAGCUCCGAAGUAUAUGGAAGGCAUUUAGUGUAACAAAACAGGACUCUUUACUUCCAAAACUCGAUCCAUCGUAACAUAUUGAACAAUCUCAUUACAGAAAUUUGUUUGUUGUUUGCUUGUUUGUGUAUGAAAUGCGAAUAAAUACAAUCAACUAGUAGAUAUCUUAUCAUCUGGUGAUGAAAGACAAUAUG
rnacentral:misc_RNA from 1 species